AUGGAUUACGAGCCGGCAGUGAUUUGCGAUCGAUGCGGCAGGAAGGCGCCGCGGUGGAUAUCCUGGAGUCCGGCGAACCCUGGUAGGAGAUAUUAUUCCUGCGUUGAUUCUCAUGUAAGCAUUCCUCACCAGCACGGCUUCAUCGACUGGCAUGACACCCCCACGACGCCAUUUCUUCGUCAAUUGCUAGGAGAUCUACGGCACAAAGUGUGGAGGCUGGAGGAUGAGCUUGCUGGGCAGACACCAGAAGGAGAGGUUAUUCUUUUGAGAGAGGAAUUGGAGAAGAAAAAUGCUUUAGUUGCAGAAAUGGGAGCUAGAUGUGAUAGUAAACAUGAGAUGGAGAUGUAUAAGUCUCUGUUUUAUGGCAUGGUGCUCUUUGUUGCUGGUUUAGUUGCAGGGUUCUUUCUUUUUCAGUAG
rnacentral:rRNA from 1 species